AACACUCAGCCCUGGGCCCGGCGGAUGUGGAGCGUUUGGGGAGCUCAGCUAUUGUCUUCAAUAGUAUGAUUCCUCCAGAUGGUGGGAGCACCGGGGCCCCCGCAGGCCCGAGAGAACCGUCGCCAGCUUUGCUUCCCCUUCCCUUUGUGAAACCACUGACGCCUCUGCAGGUCCUCGUGUUAAAUUACAGCCACACCUACUUCCCAGGGUGGUGGAGAGGAUGCCGGGAGUCGGUGCGCGAGUAAGGCUUUGGGAAUGGGGCCUGGUACUGGCUGAGUGCUCAGAAACAGCAAGGGCAGUGAUGGUAUCUGACGCAUUGAGCACUUACCACGUCCACUCUCCAGAUUUAACCCUGACAACCUACGCAUGAGGGAGACUGCACAGCAAUGAGACUGCGAAGUAUGAUGAAAUGUGAAGAUGGAAAGCAAAUUGAUGUCAGCAUUAAGCGAACACUGGAGAAGCCUGGCCUCUGGGUGACUUCUUAAGAGCAGACUGGACAGGCCUUAUUCCCUCCGACCCCCUCGCUUAGUGGAAUGAAAAGUGAACCGGCUUUGGAGUCAGAAACCUGGAUUCUCUCGGGCUCUGACCCUCAGUAGCUGUGAGGCCUCGGACAAGUCACUCAACCUCGAGAGACUUCGUUCUCCUCAUCUAUAGAAGAGUGAU